GACGAACGCUGGCGGCGUGCUUAACACAUGCAAGUCGAACGCAGUGGGGACGGGUGAGUAACACGUGGGUAACCUCCCAUCAGAGGGGAUAACACUUGGAAACAGGUGCUAAACCGAUACUGAUGUAUGAACCCGCGGUGCAUUAGCUAGUUGGUGAGGUAACGGCUAACCAAGGCCACGAGGCAUAGGCGGUCUGAGAGGGUGAUCGGCCACACUGGGACUGAGACACGGCCCAGACUCCUACGGGAGGCAGCAGUGGGGAAUAUUCGGCAAUGGGCGAAAGUCUGACCGAGCAACGCCGCGUGAAUGAAGAAGGUUUUCGGAUCGUAAAGCUCUGUUAUUAGGGAAGCGGUAUCUAACGAGGAAGCAACGGCUAACUACGUGCCAGCAGCCGCGGUAAUAC
rnacentral:rRNA from 1 species